CUCGACUACAUGAAGCUGGAAUCGCUAGUAAUCGCGGAUCAGAAUGCCGCGGUGAAUACGUUCCCGGGUCUUGUACACACCGCCCGUCACACCAUGGGAGUCAGUAACGCCCGAAGUCAGUGACCCAACCGUAAAGGAGGGAGCUGCCGAAGGCGGGACGGAUAACUGGGGUGAAGUCGUAACAAGGUAUC
rnacentral:rRNA from 1 species